GAAAGACUGACAAGAUAAGAUUGGGAAACAAUCUGCUAUCAUUCUUCUAAGAGAAGCUCAGUGUCCUAAGAAGGAGGGCCGGUGAUACAUGGUGGCCAGAGAUUUCAGGGUAAAAGAAGCAACCCCAACCUCCAUGAAAGCUUUGGACUGAUAGGCUACCAACAGAGAUUUGCCCUUUGAGGUACCCACACACCAACUGCACCUGACAGCAAAGAGGUGCCAUGAGUGGUCAAAAAGUCGACCCACAAAUGGAGCGUUUUGGCCCAGCAGCCAUAUUCCUCUGGAAACCUGUAAAGGAGAGAAUAGAGGCUCAAAACACUCCCUUUGAUGCCAAAAGGGCUUAUUUUGUGUCGGAGCCCACUGACAUGUAUUUAAAGGGGAAAAUUGUGAAGAAGGAGGGUGGCAAAGACACAGCUGAAAUUCAGGGUUGGAAGACUCUCAGUGAGAAAGAAGAUGAAAUCUUCCCAAUGAACCCUCCAAAGUUCAAUAAGAUGUAGGACAUGGCCAUUAUGACCCACCUCAGUGAGCCUGCUGUGCUAUAUAACUUUAAAGAGCGCUGUGGAGUACAAACUGUAGUUUGUGGAGAGACAUGUAUGUUUACUGAACGCUGAGUAAUUACGACCACCCCUGCCUUACAUGCUGACAAGAUUUCUGAAGGUGCCCAGAGAUUUUCAUCAGUGAUAUAUCAGCAGCCACCUGGAUUUAAAGACUCUGGGCUGUUCUGCAUCACUGUGAACCCCUGCCAGUGCCUCCUGGUGUGUGAUGCAAUGGUUGUUUCAGGAUACAGGGGCAAGAA